rnacentral:tRNA from 2 species
GCUGCGUUAGCUCAGUGGUAGAGCGCUACCUUGGUAAGGUAGAGGUCCCGGGUUCAAAUCCCGGACGUAGCU